rnacentral:rRNA from 1 species
AGAGUUUGAUCCUGGCUCAGAACGAACGUUGGCGGCGUGGAUUAGGCAUGCAAGUCGGGGGAAUCCCAGCAAUGGGGGAACCGGCGUAAGGGGCAGUAAGGCAUGGGUACCUACCCUAGGGUUCGGGAUAGCCAUCAGAGAUGGUGGGUAAUACCGGAUGAUGUCGAGAGACCAAAGAUUUAUCGCCCUGGGAGGGGCCCAUGUGAUAUUAGCUAGUUGGUGAGGUAACGGCUCACCAAGGCGAAGAUGUCUAGCGGGUGUGAGAGCACGACCCGCGCCACUCGCACUGAGACACUGGCGAGACACCUACGGGUGGCUGCAGUCGAGGAUCUUCGGCAAUGAGCGCAAGCUUGACCGAGCGACGCCGCGUGAGCGAUGAAGGCCUUCGGGUUGUAAAGCUCUUUAGUGGGGGAGAAAAGCCCGCAAGGGUGUGAUCUAUCCCAAAAAUAAGCACGGGCUAAGUUCGUGCCAGCAGCCGCGGUAAGACGAACCGUGCGAACGUUGUUCGGAAUCACUGGGCUUAAAGGGCGCGUAGGCGGGCUGUCAAGUCUGGGGUGAAAUGCCGCGGCUCAACCGUGGAACUGCCUUAGAUACUGACGGCCUCGAGGAAGGUAGGGGCAUGCGGAACUGUAGGUGGAGCGGUGAAAUGCGUUGAUAUCUACAGGAACUCCGGUGGCGAAAGCGGCGUGCUGGACCUUUUCUGACGCUGAGGCGCGAAAGCUAGGGGAGCAAACGGGAUUAGAUACCCCCGUAGUCC